rnacentral:rRNA from 1 species
CGCAUCUGUGCAUGCAGCAUAUCAAUAAGCGGAGGAAAAGAAACUAACAAGGAUUCCCCUAGUAACGGCGAGUGAAGCGGGAAGAGCUCAAAUUUGAAAUCUUAAAGGGUUUCCCUUUACGAAUUGUAGUUUAAAGAAGUGUUUUCUGUUGAGGUUUUGGUAAAAGUUCUUUGGAAUAGGACAUCAUAGAGGGUGAGAAUCCCGUAUUUGACCUUUACUUUCAACUUUGUGAUACACUUUCAAAGAGUCGGAUUGUUUGGGAAUGCAGUCCAAAAUGGGUGGUAAAUUUCAUCUAAAGCUAAAUAUUGGCGAGAGACCGAUAGCGAACAAGUACCGUGAGGGAAAGAUGAAAAGAACUUUGAAAAGAGAGUUAAACAGUACGUGAAAUUGUCAAAAGGGAAGCGUUUGACACCAGUGUUGUUUCUCUGAAAAUCAAUUAAAGAACUGUUUAUGCUAAGCUGUUUAGACUUUAUCAGCUAACUGUUUAGUUUUGAGCUUUUCUUUAAUGCACUUUUCAGUUAACAAGUCAACAUCAAUUUCUUUUGCUGUAAAAAAGCUUGAGGAAGGUGGCUUGAGAUUCGUCUUAAGUGUUUAUAGCCUCUUGCCUAUGCAGUCGGAGAGAUUGAGGUCUGCAGCGUAGAUCCUUCGGGGCUAAAUGCAUUUGUGCUAAGUUAUAGCAUUUUAUAGACAACUUGUUGACUAUGAUUUGUCUUGUAGCUUACUCGCUUAUGUUAUUUUACCUACGCUUAGGAUGUUGAGUCAUCACACAUCUCU